UUAAGCAUAUCAAUAAGCGGAGGAAAAGAAACUAACAAGGAUUCCCCUAGUAACUGCGAGUGAAGCGGGAAAAGCUCAAAUUUAAAAUCUGGCGGUCUUUGGCYGUCCGAGUUGUAAUCUAGAGAAGUGUUAUCCGCGCUGGACCGUGUACAAGUCUCCUGGAAUGGAGCGUCAUAGAGGGUGAGAAUCCCGUCUUUGACACGGACUGCCAGGGCUUUGUGAUGCGCUCUCGAAGAGUCGAGUUGUUUGGGAAUGCAGCUCAAAAUGGGUGGUAAAUUCCAUCUAAAGCUAAAUAUUGGCGAGAGACCGAUAGCGAACAAGUACCGUGAGGGAAAGAUGAAAAGAACUUUGGAAAGAGAGUUAAACAGUACGUGAAAUUGCUGAAAGGGAAACGCUUGAAGUCAGUCGCGUUGUCCAGGGAUCAACCUUGCUUUUGCUUGGUGCACUUUCUGGUUGACGGGUCAGCAUCAAUUUUGACCAUUGGAAAAAGAUUAGGGGAAUGUGGCAUCUUCGGAUGUGUUAUAGCCCUUGGUUGCAUACAAUGGUUGGGAUUGAGGAACUCAGCACGCCGCAAGGUCGGGUUUCCAUAUUAACCACGUACGUGCUUAGGAUGCUGGCAUAAUGGCUUUAAUCGACCCGUCUUGAAACACGGACCAAGGAGUCUAACAUGCCUGCGAGUGUUUGGGUGGAAAACCCGAGCGCGUAAUGAAAGUGAAAGUUGAGAUCCCUGUCGUGGGGAGCAUCGACGCCCGGACCAGACCUUUUGUGACGGCUCCGCGGUAGAGCAUGUAUGUUGGGACCCGAAAGAUGGUGAACUAUGCCUGAAUAGGGUGAAGCCAGAGGAAACUCUGGUGGAGGCUCGUAGCGAUUCUGACGUGCAAAUCGAUCGUCAAAUUUGGGUAUAGGGGCGAAAGACUAAUCGAACCAUCUAGUAGCUGG
rnacentral:rRNA from 1 species